UGGUCACUGUCCAUGGUGGUAUUGAAUUCAAUCUUCUGGUCAAUGACAUAUUAGUUGCUACAACAAUUGAGUAUGAAAGCAGGAAAACUUGAUACAUCAUCUUUCUUUUGCAGGCAGACCCGUGUGUGUGGUCAUUGUCUAUACUGCUUUUGACUUCAUUCUUCUGGCCAAUGACAUAUCUGCUGCAUCACAAUUGAAUAUGAAGGCAGAAAAACCUGAUGCAUCUUCUUUCUUUUGACUCUUGUGUGUAGUCAUUGUGUAUGAUGUGACUGACUUCACUCUUCG